GCGAUCUGAAGGAGCAGAGUCUGCCAAUGCCCGUGUCUGCAGUGACCACUUCGUCGGAGGCCUUCAUUUGCUGUUUGGUGUAAUACGACGUCUGAAGGACCAGAUAGUUCGUUAUGUCGACGGCCUCCACUGUCGGCAAAUCUUUAAGGUCCACCGAAAACUCACUCAUCUUCAUGAGACUUCCUGCCCUCCAUCUGAAAUCGCGCCCCCUGGCCGCGUCAUAAUCGUCACGUGACUGAAACCCGGCUAUUGAG